rnacentral:rRNA from 1 species
CAGGGAGCGUCUAAACAUGCAAGUCGAGCGGACAGAAGGGAGCUUGCUCCCGGAUGUUAGCGGCGGACGGGUGAGUAACACGUGGGUAACCUGCCUGUAAGACUGGGAUAACUCCGGGAAACCGGAGCUAAUACCGGAUAGUUCCUUGAACCGCAUGGUUCAAGGAUGAAAGACGGUUUCGGCUGUCACUUACAGAUGGACCCGCGGCGCAUUAGCUAGUUGGUGGGGUAAUGGCUCACCAAGGCGACGAUGCGUAGCCGACCUGAGAGGGUGAUCGGCCACACUGGGACUGAGACACGGCCCAGACUCCUACGGGAGGCAGCAGUAGGGAAUCUUCCGCAAUGGACGAAAGUCUGACGGAGCAACGCCGCGUGAGUGAUGAAGGUUUUCGGAUCGUAAAGCUCUGUUGUUAGGGAAGAACAAGUGCGAGAGUAACUGCUCGCACCUUGACGGUACCUAACCAGAAAGCCACGGCUAACUACUCAACG